rnacentral:rRNA from 1 species
AUUGAACGCUGGCGGCAGGCCUAACACAUGCAAGUCGAGCGGAUGAAGGGAGCUUGCUCCUGGAUUCAGCGGCGGACGGGUGAGUAAUGCCUAGGAAUCUGCCUGGUAGUGGGGGAUAACGUCCGGAAACGGGCGCUAAUACCGCAUACGUCCUGAGGGAGAAAGUGGGGGAUCUUCGGACCUCACGCUAUCAGAUGAGCCUAGGUCGGAUUAGCUAGUUGGUGGGGUAAAGGCCUACCAAGGCGACGAUCCGUAACUGGUCUGAGAGGAUGAUCAGUCAACAUGGAAAUAGGACACGGUCCAGACCCCCAGGGGGGGAAGCAGUGGGGAAUUUUGGACAAGGGGGGAAAGCCUGAUCCAGCCAUGCCGGGGGUGUGAAGAAGGUCUUCGGAUUGUAAAGCACUUUAAGUUGGGAGGAAGGGCAGUAAGUUAAAACCUGGCUGUUUUGACGUUACCAACAGAAUAAGCACCGGCUAACUUCGU